GUGAAGAACGUAGCGAAAUGCGAUAAGUAGUGUGAAUUGCAGAAUUCAGUGAAUCAUCGAAUCUUUGAACGCACCUUGCGCCCCUUGGUUAUUCCAAAGGGCAUGCCUGUUUGAGUAUCAUGAACACCUCAACUCUUGUGGUUUCCCACAAUGAGCUUGGACUGUGGAGGUUUUGUUGGCCCUGUGGUCAGCUCCUCUCAAAUGGAUCAGCUUACCGGUGUUUGGUGGCAUUACGGGUGUGAUAACUAUCUACGCUCGUGGUCGUCUCCAAAUAACCUCCAGUGAUGGAGGUUCGCUGGAGCUUAUAAAUGUCUCUCCCCAGUGAAGACAGCCUUUGAACGUUCGAUCUCAAAUCAGGUAGGACUACCCGCUGAACUUAAGCAUAUCAAUAAGCGGAGGA
rnacentral:misc_RNA from 1 species